GGACUACUGGGGUAUCUAAUCCCGUUCGCUCCCCUGGCUUUCGUGUCUCAGCGUCAGCACACCCCCAGCCAGCUGUUUUCACCGUUGGCGUUCCAAAUGAUAUCUACGCAUUUCACCGCUCCACCAUUUGUUCCGCUGGCCCCUAGGUGGCUCAAGACGCCCAGUAUACCCAGCCGUUCCACGGGUGAGCCGUGGGAUUUCACAAGGUACUUAGGCGUCCGCCUACACACGCUUUAAGCCCAGUGAUUCCGCCUAACGCUCGGCACCUCUGUAUUACCGCGGCGGCUGGCAC
rnacentral:rRNA from 1 species